rnacentral:rRNA from 1 species
AUGGAGUCGUCAGCUGACGAGCAUGCCAUGGAGAGUGAUACUGAGACUGAAAGUGAUCUGAUCAGCGAGCUGCCUGAAGACAUCCUCCAGAAAAUCCUGUCUUGCGUGUGGAUUAGAACUGUUGUUCGCAUGCGCAGGGUGUCUAGGAAGUGGAUGGAACUGUGUGAAAGCCUGCAGUUCAUACGCCUUGAUUACAGAGAUUUCGAACAUUGGAAGGUCGAGAAGUUUACUCGUUUUGUUAACAACCUAUUGCUUGUCCGUCGGAAAGUAGACUUGCAAACAUUCCAGCUGCAUUGGAAUCCUCAUGGUCCCCUGAACUGCAAUGAUGUCAGAAUGUGGAUUGGCUAUGCGGUGAAGCAUAAUGUUAAAGUGCUUGACGUGAAACUUUGUCUAUAUGAUAAGACUGUUUUACCUCCUGCCAUUUUCACCUGCCGCUCGCUUCAGGAGCUAAAUUUGCAGUGGGGUAAUGCUCCCUACCGAGAUUAUGACCACACGGGACUUGUACUGCCUGACAUAAUCAAUCUUCCUUCUCUCAAGAAACUUACUCUGCGCGACGUGGAAGUGGAUGAGCUUUCUCUGAACAGAUUCAUUGCCUGGAGCCCUGGCCUAGAAGACUUGAAUUUGAUAGACUCUGCGAUGCAUCUUGAUCUCAUAGCCUCAAAAGCAUUAAAAAGGCUAACCCUUGAUGGCUUCCUAGAUGAGUGCGAUGGAUUCACAAUUGCUGCCCCUCAUCUCAUUAGCUUUGAGUGCACGGGAUGUUCACUGGAAGCUAUUUCCUGGAGAGACCAGCCAUCUCUAGAGAGCGCACGCAUAGAUACUUGUGGGUAUACAUUUGAUUGUGAAUCAAAGUUCACUGGAGUUCUUAAGUAUGCCAAGAAGCUUGCAUUAUUUGGUUCUGACAUAAAGGUUAUGUUGGAAAAGGAGCUGCCAACAUGUUCAGCGUUUGAAAGCCUCACAACUCUUGAGAUUGGCGAAUGGUUUUUAACUGAGGACUUGUACGUUGUGCUUCGCUUCCUCCAGCUUUCACCGAGGCUAGAAGAACUCACUUUGAUGCAUAGGCCGCUUGAUGAAGGAGCGGAAAUAGAUUGCAUGCCAAUUGACGGGAUGACCUUCCAGUGUCCACUCCUUGAAAGUGUUGUCAUACAAUGUUCAGAGGGUGAUGGAAGAAUCGAUAAGCUGCUAAGUGUUCUGGUAGUCAAUGGGAUUAGUCUAGACAAUAUAAAUAUUGCCUUCUAUGAUGAAAUUGAAAAGCGGGACCGUGCGGAGAGGAUACGUGCCGACGAGGAACAGUCGAAGGAGCUGCGCAUCUUUGAGAAGAGGGUGAAGAGAAAUCCAGAAUGGAGAGAGUAUGAUCCUUACGCAAUGAGUGAGUCUGACAGCAAACAGAGUGAUGAUGGGUUCAGCGACGCAUCUGAUGACCCGGAUGACUACUGA